rnacentral:rRNA from 2 species
GAGUUUGAUCAUGGCUCAGGAUGAACGCUAGCGGCAGGCUUAAUACAUGCAAGUCGAGGGGCAGCAUGAGUGUAGCAAUACAUUUGAUGGCGACCGGCAAACGGGUGCGGAACACGUACAGAACCUCCCUUCGAGCGGGGAAUAGCCCGGAGAAAUCCGGAUUAAUACCCCAUAGUAUAGCGAAGAGGCAUCUCUUUACUAUUAAAGAUUUAUCACUUGAAGAUGGCUGUGCGGCUGAUUAGGUAGUUGGCGGGGUAACGGCCCACCAAGCCUGCGAUCAGUAACUGGUGUGAGAGCACGACCAGUCACACGGGCACUGAGACACGGGCCCGACUCCUACGGGAGGCAGCAGUAAGGAAUAUUGGUCAAUGGACGAAAGUCUGAACCAGCCAUGCCGCGUGGAGGAUGAAGGUCCUCUGGACUGUAAACUUCUUUUAUAUGGGACGAAAAAGGCUUUUCCAGGUCGUCUGACGGUACCAUAUGAAUAAGCACCGGCUAACUCCGUGCCAGC